GCACGGUUUCAUAAUCCGCGUGCACGGAAUCCUACCGGUCUUUAUUUUUUUCACCACUGACACUAGACGGGCUCCGAAAUUCUUUGUUCAAUUAACAGG